GCGGUCGUGGUGUAACGGUUAACAUUGGAACUUGUGGAGUUCUCGAUUCGGGUUCAAUUCCCGACGACCGCC
rnacentral:tRNA from 1 species